rnacentral:tRNA from 1 species
UGGGCUAUAGCCAAGCGGUAAGGCAACGGACUUUGACUCCGUGAUGCGNCUCCGGUGUGGGUUCGAUUCCUACUGCCCCUG